UAUCGAAUUCAUCUUCCUUUC
rnacentral:piRNA from 1 species